GGUUGUGGAGAAAGUCACCAGUCUCAGAGUCAGAAUUGGGAUUCAAGAACAGAGUUUAUUGGACAAAGAAACUGGAGCUCGAGGGAGAGAGAGACUUCAGCUGUCACAUUCAAGCAUACCUGCUCGCUGCAGGUGCAGAUGACAGAAAGCAAGUAAGAUGCGAUUUUUGACUUUGAUGAGACUUACUUUGGAGCCAAGGCGGGGCAGAUAUCAGAUUGGAGGUUUCAAGCAUGAUAUUCUGGAAAAGGAAAAUCCACUGUAAUAAUCUCUCCUGCAUCUGAUAGGGGUUGAAGCAAUAUCUGCCAAAAUGAAGGAAGAAGGAUAUUGCUGCAGUUGAGCCUUUCUAAAGCACUGAAUCAGUGCCAAUUGUUGUAACAGACCCCUCAUGUGAGGCACAGCUUUGACAACUGUAUGCAAAGAGCACAUCUUGGAUUCUAGAGUUCAGAGCUAACCACUAGCCUAUUUAGCAGCAAUAUUGUAGACUGAAAGCUAUUUAAUAUUAUCGACAACUUCCAUUGGCCUGUAAAGUAGAAAAUAUAAGGUAUUAGACAGAUUUUGAUUCUGCACAUUACAAAUGCAUUCAAAGUUUAUUGCUAGAUGUAUUGCAAACCAAGACACAUAACACAGCAAUCCAACAGUACAUCUUCCAGUUUGAUUAGUUUCUUUUUAAAAAGUAGAUAAUCCAUUAAAUCCAUUUGAACCAAGAGAUCUCGAGGGCAUUGAUUAUUUAAAGAUAUUAUUUAAGGCUCAAAUGCUUGCAGUGUUCAAUGUACCCUAAAUAUUAGCAUCACCUCUUGCUUUGUAUCCUUGAUUUUUGGGGAAUUGCCGAACCACAGAUGAGUGGAGUCACAAGUAGAUAGGAAGUGAAGAAGGUGUUUGGUGUGCUUGCUUUAUUGGUCAGUGCAUUGAG